rnacentral:lncRNA from 1 species
AAGUCGCAGCUCUGCUGACUGAAACUCAUUUAAACUUUCCUGUGAGCGAGCGCCACGCUGCAUUAUCUAUCGAGUGGCUGGCUUCCACCGGGGUAGAGUGAAGUGCAGUGCCGGGCCAGGCCGGGAGGGGCAGGGUCCCUCCACACGCUGCGGUGAUGCCGUCACCGUGCUGUGAAGCAGCCACUGAAAUCUAAACUUCGCCCUUUGACUCCGGAACAAGGACACGUCUGGAGUCCUGCGAGGCCAGCCAGGAGGUCUGAUGAAAAAUAUGGUGAAUGAUGCUGCUGAGGGCCAUCCAGUGGAAAGGCAGCUUGUAAAAUAUUACAGUGAGCCCUCCUCCACCUUAUUCACUGAACCUAGCGCUGUGUGACUUCUGGCUCUUCCCCAAGUCAAAAUGACUAUAAAAGACACUAAUGAAGUUAUGUGGAAAUGAGAGGAAUUCAUGAAGCCACUUCUGCAGGAGAAAAUAUCUUUCAUAAACAGAGUUCCAGAUCUGGAUUUUGGGGGGACACUUGACAGUGCAGCAGGGCCAUGUCUGCCUUCCGUGUCACCUUCAAUAACUCAUAGAUUGCCCAACAGUGAUGCUGGCCUUGGACACACAGAGUUUCACUCCAACAUCUUGUUUAUUUCUUUGGGGCAGAAGAGCUUGGACUAAUUGCUCUCCAUGGUGGCUAAUCUUUUCAAGAGCUUAAUUUUACCUUAUAUACAUAAGCUUUGCAGAGGAAUGUUUACAAAGAAAUUGGGAAAUACAACCAGAAAAAAGGAGAAUCGUCAGCAGAAAAAGGAUCAAGAUUUUCCUACUCCUGGCCAGACCAAAACUCCCACAUUUUCUAACACUUUGAAAAGCACCGUAAAGAGGAUUGCAAAGUGUUCAUCCACUCGAAACCUACCUACUGAAGAAGGUGAGACUAACAAAGACUUUUCCCUCUCACCAACAUUCAGUUACCGUGUUGCUAUUGCCAACGGCCUGCAGAAGAGCAUUCAUGUGACCAGCAGUGAUCAUGAGGGUCUGGCUCAAGAGCUGUCUUCCAUCGAGAGUUCUUACUCUGAAUCUUUAAAUGAAUUGAGGAGCAGUGCAGAGGACCAGACCCAUCCAGUGUGUACCAUGCCUGUGGGGCGGAGCAGGAAGAGCUCCAGCAGCCUUGCUCCCUCUGAGGGAAGCUCUGAUGGGGAACGCACACUACACAGCCUGAAGCUGGGGGCUUUAAAGAAGCUUCGGAAGUGGAAAAAGAGCCAGGAAUGUGUUUCCUCUGACCCAGAGCUGAGCACUGUGAAGAGAACCUGGGGGAUAAGGAGCAAGUCUUUGGACAGGGCUGCUCGCCGCCCCAAGACACCAGCCCUAGAGCCAGGGUUCAGCUCCUCUGGCUGCCUCAGCCACACACACGAUGUUAUGGAGAUGAUCUUCAAGGAACUGCAAGGGAUCAGCCAGAUUGAGACAGAGCUGUCUGAGCUGCGGGGCCAUGUGGAUGCCCUGAGGCUCUCCAUUGAUGAGAUCUCCAGCAGUGUGGAGGUGGUACAGAGCGAAAUUGAGCAGCUGCGGACAGGCUUCGUGCAGUCCCGGAGAGAGACCAGGGAUAUCCAUGACUACAUUCGAUGCCUGGGCCACACAGGCAGCAAGGCAAGCCUGAGGUUCUUAAAUGUGCCUGAAGAGAGAUUCGAGUACACUGAAAACAUGGUGUACCAGAUUCUAACAGACAAAAUGGGCUUCUCAGAUGCACCAAAUGCUGUGAAAAUUGAAUAUGCUCAGAGAGUGGGGCACCAAAGGGACUGUCCAAAUGCUAAACCUCGACCCAUACUCGUGUACUUUGAAACCCCUCAGCAGAGAGAUUCUGUCUUAAAAAAAUCAUACAAACUCAAAGGAACAGGCAUUGGAGUCUCAACAGAUAUUCUGACUUAUGAUAUCAGAGAAAAAAAAGAAAAAGUGAUACCAUCCUCCCAGACCUAUGAGAGUAUGGACAUGAAGUUGUCUACUCCAGAGCCCAAAGUGAAGAAGAGCAGUUGGCAUUCACCCGGUGACAGUGAGAGGGAGUUGGAAUCUGACUUCAACAGGAACAGUUAUGCUGUGCUUUCCAAGCCAGAGCUUCCAACCAAGGGGAGCACUUCCAAGUCAAGCUCAAAAUCACACAGUGUUAGAUCUAAGAAUAAAACUGUGAAUAGCAGCAGAAAUUCAAACAAGCCAGAUGAUGAUAAAGUAUCUUCACAAUUACCAGGAUCAAAUAACUUGGAAAAGCAAACCAUAGCCCAAUAUGCAGGUGCCACGCCCCUCUGGCACUCGCAGAGUGAUUUUUUCACUGCUAAACUCAGUCGCUCUGAAUCAGAUUUUUCCAAAUUAUGUCAGUCGUAUUCAGAAGAUUUUUCAGAAAAUCAGUGUUUUGCUAGAACUAAUGGGAGCUCCCUCCUGUCAUCCUCAGACAGAGAACUGUGGCAAAGGAAACAAGAAGGCACACCUGCCUUGUAUGACAGUCCUCAAGACCAGCAUCUGGGUAGGAGCACUCCAGAUGUCCAAGUGCAGAGUGAACUUCAGAACACAGACACUGUGGACAGUGGAAUGAGUAACAGCAUGGUGUAUGCAUCUGCAGACCGGAGUCAUUACAGUGACUCUCAGCUCUCUCUGCAUGAGGACCUCUCUCCAUGGAAGGAAUGGAAUCAAGUGGAGCAAGAAACUGAUUUAGGCUUGGAUUCAUCCACUCAGGAAGCUUUUAACUAUGACACCAACAGUCUAUCUGACCAACAGAUGGAUGUCUUCAAUAAAGACCUGGAAGACAUAGGAAAGUGCCACAGUGACCUUCAAGAUGACUCUGAAAGCUACGAUUUAACCCAAGAUGACAAUUCAUCCCCAUGCCCUGGAUUAGAUAAUGAACCCCGAGGCCAGUGGGCUGGCCAAUAUGAUUCUUACCAGGAAGCUAAUUCUAAUGAACUAUUCCAAAACCAAAGCCAGUUGUCCAUGAUGUAUCGAAGUCAAAGUGAAUUGCAAAGUGAUGAUUCAGAGGAUGUCCCACCCAAAUCUUGGCAUAGCCGACUAAGCAUUGAUCUUUCUGAUAAGACUUUCAGCUUCCCAAAAUUUGGAUCUACACUGCAGAGGGCUAAAUCAGCCUUGGAGGUAGUGUGGAACAAAAGCACACAGAGUCUCAGUGGGUAUGAGGACAGUGGCUCCUCCCUAAUGGGAAGAUUUCGGACACUGUCUCAAUCAACUGCAAAUGAGUCCAGUACUACUCUUGACUCAGAUGUCUACACAGAGCCCUAUUACUACAGAGCAGAGGAUGAGGAGGACUAUAGUGAGCCAGUGGUGGACAAUGAGACAGAUUAUGUUGAAGUGAUGGAACAAGUCCUUGCUAAACUAGAAAACAGGACUAGUGUUAUGGAAACAGAUGAGCUAAUGCAGGAAUAUGAUCCUCCUUUGUAUGAGACACCAUAUGAAACCCCACAGGAUGAGGGUUAUGAAGGGCAGGCAAAUGAUGUGGUCAGUGAAGGGGAGCUAGAACCUGUAACUGAACUAGCAGCUGAAAUGCUAAUACAAGAAGAUGAAAACCAAAACAUCCCUGAACAGCCGCUGGAAAUCACAAAGCCAAAGAGAAUUCGUCCCUCUUUCAAAGAAGCAGCUCUAAGGGCCUAUAAGAAGCAAAUGGCAGAAUUGGAAGAGAAGAUCCUGGCUGGAGAUAGCAGUUCUGUGGAUGAAAAGGCUCGGAUAGUAAGUGGCAACGGCUCAGUGGCCCCAGGACUCUCUGCACUCCAGGCAUUUGGGGGGACCAAGUGGGGUCUGUACGGCAUCGACAGCAUGCCUGACCUCCGCAGGAAGAAGACUCUGCCUAUUGUUCGGGAUGUGGUAAGUCACCCCUGGUUGGUGCUUUUGGACUGCAUGUAUUGACUUUCUCUUUAUUAAAACAUAAUGUACUUCUCAUUAGCUACCUAGCCUAUAAAUAUUUCAUUGAGUAAAAUAGACGAGGCCAGAUUCUGCCAAGUGUUACAUUUAUUAUAUCUUUAAAAUGUAUUUGAUGGAAGGAAUUCCUCUCACCCUCUGGCCACUGUUGACAUUAGGUUAAAUUACUGAGUCAAAGGAAUCAUGGCCCGCCCACCAAGCCCCUGAGCUGGGCCGUGGUGAGCUGCAUGUGCUGAAUGACUAUGUGUAGAAUUUGCAAAGUCUAGGGCUUGAUUUGAAAUUCCUCCCCCAGAUGGAGAAGACUGGAGUACUCUGAAAGAAGCUGAAAAUAUUAAUUGGUCCUUUAUGUAUUAAGGCUGAGUCUAGCCAAAUUAAUAAGUUCUGUUUUCUAAGAGAACCAUAGUGCACAAGUCAUUAAAAUUUUAUUAGUCUUCGGUAUGAUUUUAAAUAACUCAUUCUCCUACAAUCAAAUAUACUGGGAAUCACAGAGAAAUGCUAAGCAUCAAUAAUGGGGUGGUGGUCUAUGUUCAGUUGUUAAGAAAAGAAAACCCAUCCACAGAGAAAUACUAUUUUUACCAUUCAAAAUAUAUCACAUUUUUUCCUAUGGAUAUAUAGGAUUCUUAAUGGUUUAUUAUGUAAAAAAUGUAUCCUCUCCAAAGAAAUGUAACUUUCUCUUUUAGCAACAAUGUGCUUAAAUUUUAUACCAGGAAUUUUAAUUUUGCUAUAAAAAUCGUCACCUGAGUGCAGCACCAUGGUUGUAAAGCAAGGCUUUGGCUGGGAAGUCCUUGUACCGGAAAGCAUGGUGAUUCAGUGCAGUUGGCUUGGAUUCCUCUAAGUACAGUGCACCUUACUUUGAAGUGUCAGACUAAUUUAACGUUGUUCUACUCUGCUACCUCCAUUGUUUAAUGAUUUAAACUUUGUUUCCUUUCAUUUCCGAUCUUCAGGCCAUGGUAAGUGCUUUGCAAUUUUAUUUGCUACUAUUUGCUGACCUUCCCAAACAUUCUUUCGUGACUUAUGAGCUAAAAGGGAACAAGAUGGGGACAUAAAAAGACAGACACAUGCAGGAAUAGAAGUCUGGGCUUUGCGAUAAUUUACAUCUAUUUCCAUUCUGAAGAACUACAUUGUGUCUACAAUAGCGCAAGCUCAGACUGAGCGAGAACACAGUGCUUUACAGGUGGUGGUCUGAGAUGAGGGCUGUCUUGGGUAAACCCAGGAAGAAAGAAUUGACCCAACAGGAGCCGGGUGGGCAUGGCUUGCUGACCUGGAAAACUGUAGAGCAUCAUCUGUGUGCAUGGCUUCGUAACCCUGGGAGAAGCGACCGAGAGCAGACAGGAAAUGGGGGUGCCGCUGUGAUUUCCCUUUGCUCCUCAUGGGGUCACCGGUCUCGCUUUCCCAUUCGGAGCUUCUCAGCUCAUGUUUUCUGAGGCUAUGUCUGGGGCGAACCAGGGCCCUGUCCACUAGUGCGGGUGGGCACACGGGAGCUGCCACUCCUACCCCGGGCUUCUGCCGGGCAGCGUGGACGUUAUAACCUCCCGCCUGCUAAUGCAUGGAGAGUCUCUUUGUCGCAGACCCUGGCUGCUCGGAAGUCCGGCGUCUCCCUGGCGAUGGUGAUCAGGACGUCGCUGAACAACGAGGAGCUGGUAGGUGUGGGCGGCCACUGACCCUGUGCCGAGGCCCUGGGUGGCCCCUCUGUUCACAUUUACGCCACUGUUCCAGGAGCAGCUGGAGCUCUGGACACCUGAGCGAGACAGGCUUUUCUGGGGCCUCGCCUCGCUCUC